rnacentral:misc_RNA from 1 species
GCGUCGUCUCAAACCUUCAAGCCUAGCUUGGUGUUGGGUGACUGUCCCGCGUUACCGCGCGGACUCGCCUCAAAGUCAUUGGCAGCAGACUCGGUAGCUAAUUGCGCAGCACAUCGCGCCGGAAGCUCCCCGUCCGCUAUCCACGAGCACAGUCUCAUCAGUUUGACCUCGGAUCAGGUAGGGAUACCCGCUGAACUUAA